rnacentral:rRNA from 1 species
AGAGCGAACGCUGGCGGCAGGCCUAACACAUGCAAGUCGAGCGCCCGUAGCAAUACGGGAGCGGCAGACGGGAUAGUAACACGUGGGAACGCGCCCUUCGGUUCGGAAUAACUCAGGGAAACUUGAGCUAAUACCGGAUACGCCCUUACGGGGAAAGAUUUAUUGCCGAAGGAACGGCCCGCGUCCGAUUAGCUAGUUGGUGAGGUAAUGGCUCACCAAGGCUCCGAUCGGUAGCUGGUCUGAGAGGAUGACCAGCAUCACUGGGACUGAGACACAGCCCAGACUCCUACGGGAGGCAGCAGUGGGGAAUAUUGGACAAUGGGCGCAAGCCUGAUCCAGCCAUGCCGCGUGGAUGAUGAAGGCCUUAGGGUUGUAAAGUCCUUUUAACGGGGAGAUAAUGACGGUACCGUAGAAUAAGCCCGGCUAACUUCGCGCCAGCAGCCGC